rnacentral:rRNA from 1 species
AGCAGCAGCCACGGGAAUACGAAGGGUGCAAGCGUUAAUCGGAAUUACUGGGCGUAAAGCGUGCGUAGGCGGUUUGUUAAGUCUGUUGUGAAAUCCCCGGGCUCAACCUGGGAAUGGCAGUGGAUACUGGCUCGCUAGAGUGUGUCAGAGGAUGGUGGAAUUCCCGGUGUAGCGGUGAAAUGCGUAGAGAUCGGGAGGAACAUCAGUGGCGAAGGCGGCCAUCUGGGACAACACUGACGCUCAGGUGCGAAAGCGUGGGGAGCAAACAGGAUUAGAUACCCGCGUAGUCCCUGUCUCUUAUAC